CACCCAUUUCAGUCAUUAAAGAUCUUAAGUAGUUUAGACACACGCCUUUGCUCAAGGAAAUUCACAGAAACCGCCACUGUUACACAUCUUAUCGAAUGACUCACUGAUUAAUCCUUUUCCUCAUCCCUUCCUCCCCUUCCCAUCUGCCCUAAGAACAAAGAGCUUGUAAACCAAUAAAUUGGGUGGAGCCCAGAGCUCUGGGCCGUGAGCAAGCCUCCAACGCUCUGGUCCCCUGGACCUGCCUUUUAAACGCUUGUUCUGUCUCUUUCUAACUCCUUUGUCUCCGCCGGACUCGGGGUAUCCGCUGGGUGGUGUGGGGCUGGUUUCCCCAACAGCUUUCUCUCCACCCAGCUUCAUAGAUGACACCCUGCCUGCUAGGCCAGAUGUUCUCCGGCCAAGAACACUAUUAUAGCUGCCUGGCUUCUCCCUGAGCAGCGUCAGGUGUGAGGAGUGCGCAUGGCAGCUGCCCAGUGACAGAUGGAAUCUCCCUCUCUCACCCAGGCUGGAGUGCAAUGGCACAAUCAGCUCACUGCAACCUCCACCUCCCGGGUUCAAGUGAUUCUUCUGCCUCAGCCUCCCGAGUAGCUGGGACUACAGGUGCGCGCCACCACGCCCAGCUAAUUUUUGUAUUCUUAGUAGAGAUGGGGUUUCACCAUAUUGGCCAGGCUGGUCUCGAACUCCUGACCUCAUGAUCUGCCCUCCUCGGCCUCGCAAAGUGCUGGGAUUACAGGCGUGAGCCACCACGCUCGGCCAACAGUCUUUCAAAGUAACUGACCUUGGGAAGGUCUUAUGGUGACAUUCUGUCCUUGAAUAAAGAAUCUUACUAUGAGUUCCUCAAAUUAUUGAUGCAAUGAUUGAUACAUAACCUACUGGCAUUGAAAAGGAUGCUGAUUUAUUGCUGAAUCAUGAAGUUUUACUGAUGGUCUUGCAUGUAGACAUUUUAACCUGUAUGUUGUAAUGUGUAUUCAAUGAUUGCAAUCUUUGUAUUGAACCCUCCAAUGAAAAAGGACAAGUUUGGUAUAAGGAGUCCCCCUCCCUGCUCCUAAACUUUUCUAUAAAAGCCUUCCAAUUUGUAACAGACUCCAGAACAUGUGUAACUUUGUUGGUGUGUUUUCCCAAGUCAGUCCUUACAUUUGGCUUCCAAUAAACCUUUAUCAAAUUAUUUCUGCUGGCUGGGCACAGUGGCCCAUGCCUGUAAUCCCAGCACUUUGGGAGGCUGGGGCAGGAAGAUUGCUUGAGCCCACGGGUUUGAGAUCCGCCUGGACGACAUAGUGAGACCCCAUCUCUAUUAAAAAUAAAAAAUAAAAUAAAUAAAAUAACUUCUGUCUCAACAGCCUUCAUUUCAGUCAACAACCACAUAACAGAUCAUCAAAAUACAUAAAGCAAAAACUGACAGAACUAAAGUUAAAUAUACAUAUCUACAAUUAUGUAGAGAAUAACAAACAAAAAAAUAGAACAAAAAUGUUCCACGCCUUGGUCAAUGGUACCACCAGCCAGCGAGGUUCCCAAGCCAAGAACUUCGGAAGCAUCCGUGAUUCUUCAUCUUCCACAUCCACUUUAUCACCGGAAGCACGCAUUCAACUUUCUAAACAUCCCUCAGACUGACCCACAUCUUUCUAUCCACUUUUCACAUCUUGCUUGAAUGACUUCCCCAGGCCCAGCCAGUCUCCCGCCUCCAGCUCCGCCCCCUUCUGACUCCCUUUAUGUGGUACAAUCAGAGAGCCCUUCCCAAAGCACAAAUCUGCUUUCACUGCUUUGCUUCAAGCCCUUUCGUGGCUCCUAUUUCCAGCUGGAUGAGGUCCAAGCCUCUUAACGUGCUGUACGUGUACAUGCCUGACCCCCGCUACUUGACCAGCCAAGUUUCUUCAUAGCGCUGUGUCUUUGUUCCUCCUGCCUAGAAUGUCCUUCCCCUUUUCUCUCGCUUCAUGGUGUGCCAAACUCCUAUCCUGUGAGAUCCAGCUUACACGUCAGCUUCCCCGUGAUGCUUUUCCUAACUCCCUAUUCAGCCAGUGAAGUGCUCCCUGCGUUCCCAUGUGGCUUGUAUCUCUGUAAAAGCUCCACAGAGCUGUUUUAAUUUAUCCGUUAAUGUACAUGUCUUCCCCACUAGACUUUUGCUCCUUAAAGUAUCUCCUUCAUCUCUGCUUUGCAUAACCUAACAGAGUUCAACACAUAGGAGUGUCUUAAUAAAUGCUGAAUAAAAUAAUUAAUAAACAAAUGAAACAAUACAGCAAACUGUUGAUUCUCCAAAAUGUUUUCUUGAAGAAAAUGUGUUCUUCCUUUCUGAGCCCAAUUCUAUGACUUCUCAUUUCAUCCAAGA
rnacentral:lncRNA from 1 species